CCAUCGCUUCCGCAGGCUGUUGAAUAUUUUUAUACUUUUGUUUAUAUUUCAGUUUAUUUUAUCAAAUAUUUAUUUCAAUAGAUUGAAAUACCUUUACCUAACCAAGCCACAUGUGUCAGUAUCAUCUUUUAUUGUUUAUCAAUCAAUUGUGGUAGCUGGAAACUGGAAAGCCUCAUGGUUGUCUAAUGCAAGAUCAAUGAGAUUGUCUUAUCAAUAUCAUUAUGUAGAUUCUAACAUGAAUUGUGAUGUGGACGGUGGGCAUCUUUCGUCACCGCUGGUCCAGCCACAGCUCACUGCCCAGCUCUCCAGGACCCAGUCGGGCGCGCACCGGUCUCAGUGGCAGCCAGCGCUCGGCCAGCACGCGGUCCCUGACCGGCCGACUGGAGUCGCCUCAGCCGGACCGCCGCCACCUCAGCCCGGCCCCCAGUCCACUGGCGCCGCGCCGGCUGCACUAGCGUCUACCCCACCGGCAGCUCUGGUGCUCAGCCGAACGGCUGGGUACACAGACACAGAGGUCCCCACACGCAGCUACACCGCCUAGUCUGGGGAGUCAGAUGAGAUCCUUCCACCAUGUAACACUGCAACACAAUGAAAUGCGCGUUUUUGUUGUCUCUGCCUCUUUUAUGGGACGCUCAAUUAUAGCUCAACUAGUUAUCACGUGUAUCUUUUGUUGUUGCGAAACUGCUGCAUUUUUGGUUUUGCGUUGUUGAUACCGUUACUUAUUGUUACACUUGUUGAUGAUAGAGUAAUUAUAUAUUCUUAUUGUUGUUAAUCUAAUGGCACUUCUAUCACAAAUCGAUGUUAAACACUGUUCGCUGUUCUCUAUUCUUAAGCAUAGAUUUCACUGUCAUUGCUUGUACCUACUGACCGAUUUUCUGCAACCUUCUUCUUCAGCAGGGCAAUAGAGCAGCGUUUCCCUCGAAAAAAAAUAAAUAACAACAUGCUUCAAA